rnacentral:rRNA from 1 species
GUCUACAGCUAUGCUACCCUGAACAAGCCCAAUCCCAUCUGAUCUUGGAAGCUAAGCAGGGUCGGGCCUGGUUAGCACUUGGAUGGGAGACCACCUAGGAAGACCAGGUGCUGUAGGCA